rnacentral:lncRNA from 1 species
GCUGUGUGUCUUAUGACAAUUGGCUCUAUUAUCUUUCUCAUGUUGUUGCGCUGUUGGUCGAACCAUGCGGGACCACUCGAAACAUAUAGUUUUGGCCCAUCUUGUGCUAUUCCCUUUAGCUUUGCAGGAACAUACAAUACCAUCUUUUCUGAAUCUCGGGGUCUUAUAAUGGAACUAGCUCCUUUCACGAUCAGUGGUUCUCUUUGCAUAUACUUCAGUGCUUCACCCGGG